UACGAAGGGGGCUAGCGUUGCUCGGAAUCACUGGGCGUAAAGGGUGCGUAGGCGGGUCUUUAAGUCCGGGGUGAAAUCCUGGAGCUCAACUCCAGAACUGCCUUUGAUACUGAGGAUCUUGAGUACGGGAGAGGUGAGUGGAACUGCGAGUGUAGAGGUGAAAUUCGUAGAUAUUCGCAAGAACACCAGUGGCGAAGGCGGCUCACUGGCCCGUAACUGACGCUGAGGCACGAAAGCGUGGGGAGCAAACAGG
rnacentral:rRNA from 1 species